rnacentral:rRNA from 1 species
UGGGGAAUAUUGGACAAUGGGCGCAAGCCUGAUCCAGCAAUGCCGCGUGAGUGAUGAAGGCCUUAGGGUUGUAAAGCUCUUUUACCCGGGAUGAUAAUGACAGUACCGGGAGAAUAAGCCCCGGCUAACUCCGUGCCAGCAGCCGCGGUAAUACGGAGGGGGCUAGCGUUGUUCGGAAUUACUGGGCGUAAAGCGCACGUAGGCGGCUACUCAAGUCAGAGGUGAAAGCCCGGGGCUCAACCCCGGAACGGCCUUUGAAACUAGGUAGCUAGAAUUCUGGAGAGGUCAGUGGAAUUCCGAGUGUAGAGGUGAAAUUCGUAGAUAUUCGGAAGAACACCAGUGGCGAAGGCGACUGACUGGACAGACAUUGACGCUGAGGUGCGAAAGCGUGGGGAGCAAACA